GCGAAAUAUUACAAUCGAAAGUGUAUUAAAGUUUUGAUGGAUGUCGCAAAACAAGAAGUUAUGGAUAUCUUAGAUAUAUAACACAAUUGGCGUUUCACUUUCUUCAUUGAUUAUUCUACAAGAUUUCCGGAAGAUAAAUAGUGUUUGAGUCGAUGUGUUGCAAGCAAGUUUCUAGUGCCUCCAACUCAGGCGUCUAACGUUAAAAAGAUACUGGUUUUUACAGGCUCUGACACCGAGUCUUAGAGGACUUUACUGCGCGAGCCAUCAAAUUAAACUUAAUUGAAUGGGAAGCAUUCUCGUGCUCUUAGAAUUUUGGUAGCCUUUUAUCUUUCCUUUUCAACUUCUCUGUUUCAGCCAACCAAAAGAUGGAAACUAAGACCCUCGUAGCUUUGUUUCUUGUUUCGUGCAUUUUUCUCUCCGUGUCUUUUCAACCCACCGCCUCUCAAAGUCUCCGAUGGGGAAGAGAAUAUGAAGAGGAAGAAGAUAACCAUCGAAUGAAUCCAGUGAAAGCCGCCGACUAUCCCAGGCGAAAAGAGAUGUACAAGACAUUCGAAGACGCCGCAGAGAAGGCCGACUAUGAUGUUAACAGAGGCUGAGUUCUACUGAAAUAUUCGAUACACCAAAACGGACUGGAUUGGACAUUUCAUUGUCACUAUGGAACAUUUACUUUUGAUUGCUGCAUGAUUAUCCGGUAGUUAAGCUUGUAAACGAGUUAAAAACUCUAUAGCAAUAAAACGUAAUCUAAACGAUGUCAGAAUAUAGGGAAAUUUGAUAACAACCCAGGAAUGCUUAUUUACACCCCUCGGCAAGAAGAAAUCGUGGGAGUAAACUGUUUUACAGCGGUUUUCCCCAAAACAACACCCGGAGAUAACACAACAUAUGAUAAAAGUCUGGUGUGUCGAGGCUCUGCAAUCUCUUAGUGCGAAUAGCGGUGCUUAAGGGUACAACGUCGGCACCUUGUUUUUGAUUGCGGUGUUUUUGAGCUUGAAAACGUAGAUCUAGCUGACUGCAUCCCAUUCUGGUUUCAUUGACAGAUGUUCGCUUGUAGAGAGUUUUGAUUGGUUACUAUCGCGCAAACAUGAAAAUGGCAGCAGCGCUAAUUUGUAUAUGGUUUCGUAAUAAACAUUUUUUAUUCACUACUUGAUUAAAGAAAUCUCUAGCGAAGAAAAGCUAUAAUGUACUGACAAGACAACC